UGCGGAACGGAGCAAUCCGGUC
rnacentral:snRNA from 1 species